rnacentral:rRNA from 1 species
AUUGAACGCUGGCGGCAGGCCUAACACAUGCAAGUCGAGCGGAUGAAGGGAGCUUGCCCCUGGAAUCAGCGGCGGACGGGUGAGUAAUGCCUAGGAAUCUGCCUGGUAGUGGGGGAUAACGUCCGGAAACGGGCGCUAAUACCGCAUACGUCCUGCGGGAGAAAGUGGGGGAUCUUCGAACCUCACGCUAUCAGAUGAGCCUAGGUCGGAUUAGCUAGUUGGGGGGGUAAAGGCCUACCAGGGCGACGAUCCGUAACUGGUCUGAGAGGAUGAUCAGUCACACGGGAACUGAGACACGGUCCAGACUACUACGGGAGGCAGCAGUGGGGAAUAUUGGACAAUGGGCGAAAGCCUGAUCCAGCCAUGGCGCGUGUGUGAAGAAGGUCUUCGGAUUGUAAAGCACGUUAAGUUGGGAGGAAGGGCAGUAAGUUAAUACCUUGCUGUUGUGACGUUACCAACAGAAUAAGCACCGGCUAACUUCGUG